rnacentral:rRNA from 1 species
AGUGAGUGGCGAACUGGUGAGUAACACGUGGGAAACCUGCCCAGAAGCGGGGGAUAACACCUGGAAACAGAUGCUAAUACCGCAUAACAACUUGGACCGCAUGGUCCGAGCUUGAAAGAUGGCUUCGGCUAUCACUUUUGGAUGGUCCCGCGGCGUAUUAGCUAGAUGGUGGGGUAACGGCUCACCAUGGCAAUGAUACGUAGCCGACCUGAGAGGGUAAUCGGCCACAUUGGGACUGAGACACGGCCCAAACUCCUACGGGAGGCAGCAGUAGGGAAUCUUCCACAAUGGACGAAAGUCUGAUGGAGCAACGCCGCGUGAGUGAAGAAGGGUUUCGGCUCGUAAAACUCUGUUGUUAAAGAAGAACAUAUCUGAGAGUAACUGUUCAGGUAUUGACGGUAUUUAACCAGAAAGCCACGGCUAACUACGUGCCAGCAGCCGCGGUAAUACGUAGGUGGCAAGCGUUGUCCGGAUUUAUUGGGCGUAAAGCGAGCGCAGGCG